GAUGAACGCUAGCGGGAGGCCUAACACAUGCAAGCCGAGCGGUAGAGUCUCUUCGGAGACUUGAGAGCGGCGCACGGGUGCGGAACACGUGUGCAACCUGCCUUUAUCUGGGGGAUAGCCUUUCGAAGGGAAGAUUAAUACCCCAUAAUAUACUGGAUGGCAUCAUCUGGUAUUGAAAACUCCGGUGGAUAGAGAUGGGCACGCGCAAGAUUAGAUAGUUGGUGAGGUAACGGCUCACCAAGUCAGCGAUCUUUAGGGGGCCUGAGAGGGUGAUCCCCCACACUGGUACUGAGACACGGACCAGACUCCUGCGGGAGGCAGCAGUGAGGAAUAUUGGACAAUGGGUGAGAGCCUGAUCCAGCCAUCCCGCGUGAAGGACGACGGCCCUAUGGGUUGUAAACUUCUUUUGUAUAGGGAUAAACCUAGAUACGUGUAUCUAGCUGAAGGUACUAUACAAAUAAGCACCGGCUAACUCCGUG
rnacentral:rRNA from 1 species